UGGGGAAUAUUGCGCAAUGGGCGAAAGCCUGACGCAGCGACGCCGCGUGAGGGAUGAAGGUUUUCGGAUCGUAAACCUCUGUCAGAAGGGAAGAAACCGCACUGUGCUAAUCAGCAGUGCCUUGACGGUACCUUCAAAGGAAGCACCGGCUAACCCCGUGCCAGCAGCCGCGGUAAUACGGAGGGUGCAAGCGUUAAUCGGAAUUACUGGGCGUAAAGCGCACGUAGGCUGCUUUGUAAGUCAGGGGUGAAAUCCCACGGCUCAACCGUGGAACUGCCUUGGAUACUGCUUAGCUUGAAUCCGGGAGAGGGUGGCGGAAUUCCAGGUGUAGGAGUGAAAUCCGUAGAUAUCUGGAGGAACAUCAGUGGCGAAGGCGACCACCUGGACCGGUAUUGACGCUGAGGUGCGAAAGCGUGGGGAGCAAACAGG
rnacentral:rRNA from 1 species